UGAGAAAUGGUCUGCAAAGAGGAGGAGAAACAAAUGGAGAAAUUCAGGAGGGAUGAAGAGCUAACAGCCUUCCCGAUAUAAAUGAUGGGUGGGAGAAAUGGCAGAACAAUAGAAGACUGAAAAUGCAGGACAUAUUUUUCUGAAGCCCCUUUGAAAGUCAAGAGAUGGAGCAAGGUAAGGGUAAAGGUUUUCUCCUGAUAUUAAGUACAGUCAUGUCUGACUCUGGCAGUUGGUGC
rnacentral:lncRNA from 11 species